CCGCGCGCCCCGCCCCUCCCGGGAUCCCGGGAGCUGUCCGGCCGCCUCAGUGCUGAUCCCGCCGCCGCCCUCCGGCUGUGAGCAGCGCUGACAGGGCACUAUGAGCGGCGGCGUCUACGGCGGAGAUGAGGUGGGGGCGCUGGUCUUUGACAUUGGCUCCUUCUCAGUCCGCGCUGGGUACGCUGGGGAGGACUGUCCCAAGGCUGACUUCCCCACCACUGUGGGGCUGCUGGCCGCGGAGGAGGGGGGCGGGCUGGAGCUGGAGGGGGAGAAAGAGAAGAAAGGGAAGAUCUUUCACAUCGAUACCAACGCCCUGCACGUGCCUCGGGAUGGAGCGGAGGUCAUGUCGCCCCUCAAGAAUGGCAUGAUCGAGGACUGGGAGUGCUUCCGCGCCAUCCUGGAUCACACCUACAGCAAACACGUCAAGUCCGAACCAAACCUGCACCCAGUGCUCAUGUCUGAGGCCCCGUGGAACACACGGGCCAAGCGGGAGAAGUUGACAGAGCUGAUGUUCGAGCAAUACAACAUUCCUGCCUUCUUCUUAUGCAAGACGGCUGUGCUCACUGCCUUUGCAAAUGGACGCUCCACAGGUUUGGUGCUGGACAGUGGGGCCACCCACACCACGGCCAUUCCAGUGCAUGAUGGCUAUGUCCUGCAGCAAGGCAUUGUCAAGUCACCCCUGGCAGGGGACUUCAUCUCUAUGCAGUGCCGGGAGCUCUUCCAGGAAAUGGCCAUUGACAUCAUCCCGCCUUACAUGAUAGCAGCCAAGGAGCCUGUACGGGAGGGUGCUCCCCCAAACUGGAAGAAGAAGGAGAAGCUACCCCAGGUUUCCAAGUCCUGGCAUAACUACAUGUGCAAUGAGGUGAUCCAGGACUUCCAGGCCUCUGUGCUACAGGUUUCAGACUCUCCCUACGAUGAACAGGUGGCUGCGCAAAUGCCCACAGUGCACUAUGAGAUGCCCAAUGGCUACAACACCGACUACGGCGCUGAGCGACUCCGCAUCCCUGAGGGCCUGUUUGAUCCCUCCAAUGUCAAGGGCCUGUCAGGGAACACCAUGUUAGGUGUGGGCCACGUGGUGACCACCAGCAUUGGCAUGUGCGACAUCGACAUUCGCCCGGGCCUGUAUGGCAGUGUCAUUGUCACUGGAGGGAACACACUGCUCCAAGGUUUCACUGACAGACUCAAUCGAGAGCUUUCCCAGAAGACCCCACCGGUAGGAGCCCACCUCCUGGCCAGGGCCUUGGGCACCAGUCCAGACUUAGCCCUUAGGAGGAAGAAGACCAAGUCCUUCCUCAUUCCCCAGUGCCCAGCGUUCUGGCCAGUUCCCCCAGUGGCUUCCCAAUCUUCCCUACCACCAGCCCUGUCCCUUCCCAGAACCCAGGUGUCUGCUUCCCCCAGCCCCUCUUUCCCCCCAGAGCAUGCGACUGAAGCUCAUCGCUAGCAAUAGCACCAUGGAGCGCAAGUUCAGCCCCUGGAUUGGGGGCUCCAUCUUGGCCUCACUGGGCACUUUCCAGCAGAUGUGGAUCUCGAAGCAGGAAUAUGAGGAGGGCGGGAAGCAAUGCGUUGAGCGGAAGUGUCCCUGAGGGCGCCCCCUUCCCACCCAGUGGUGGGGGAGGGGACGCGAAAGGCAGGGCGAGGGGGGUUGCCCCAGACCGGCCUUCGCACGCGCAGAUCGACGCCCCCAUCUCCGUCGUCCCCUUCUCCUUUCCUCCCUCUCCUCCUCUUAGAUUGUGAUGUUUCCGGAUUGAAAGAAGUAA